rnacentral:misc_RNA from 1 species
AAAAAGAAAUACAUAAGGAGUAGAGUUCUUGAUUAUACCUUCUCGUGUAACCAAUCAAGAUUCAAAAGUCUUAAUAAUGAUCCAAGUGCUUAACUCCUUAUGAAUGAUACAUAGCAUAUAAAAUUUAAAAUAAUUGAAAAUCCAAAAAGAGCAAGAAAAAGUUAAAUGAUUUUCUUGACCACAUAGAUAUGCCCAUCACUUGGUCUUCCUAAAUACUAUUAGUUAAAGUUCAU